rnacentral:tRNA from 1 species
GAGGGUACAGCUCAGUGGUGGAGUGCAUGUUUAGCAUGCAAGAGGUUCUGGGUUCAAUCCCUAGUAUCUCUG